rnacentral:rRNA from 1 species
UAGGGAAUAUUGCUUAAUGGGCGAAAGCCUGAAGCAGCAACGCCGCGUGGACGAAGAAGGCCUUCGGGUUGUAAAGUUCUUUUAUAUGGGAUGAGGAAGGACAGUACCAUAUGAAUAAGUCUCGGCUAACUACGUGCCAGCAGCCGCGGUAAAACGUAGGAGACGAGCGUUAUCCGGAUUUACUGGGCGUAAAGAGCGUGUAGGAGGCAAUACAAGUUGGAUGUAAAAGCUCUCGGCUAAACUGAGAGAGGACGUUCAAGACUGUAGAGCUAGAGGAAGGCAGAGGUAGAUGGAACUCCGGGAGUAGUGGUGAAAUGCGUAGAUAUCCGGAAGAACACCAGAGGCGAAAGCGAUCUACUGGGCCUUAACAGACACUGAGACGCGAAAGCCAGGGUAGCAAACGG